UCGUUCAACCUCACCCUUCCUUGUUUUUAUCCGCCUAUAUACCGCCGUCGUCAGCUUACCCUGUGAAGGCCCUAUAGUAAGCAAAAUUAGCAUAGCUCAGUACGUCAGGUCGAGGUGUAGCGCAUGGAAAGGGAACAGAUGGGCUACAUUCCCUAAUUUUAGUGAAUACGAAUUAUGCAUUGAAACAUGCAUAUGAAGGAGGAUUUAGUAGUAAGCCAGAAGUAGAGUGUCUCGCUGAAAUCGGCCCUAAAGCGUGCACACACCGCCCGUCACUCUCCCCAAAUCUGUGUAAACACCUAUAUAUAAACCCCUAUAAUUUUAAAGGGGAGGCAAGUCGUAACAUGGUAAGCGUACCGGAAGGUGUGCUUGGGUAAAU
rnacentral:rRNA from 1 species